rnacentral:tRNA from 1 species
GCCCUUGUAGUAUAAUAUUCAAUACCUUGGUCUUGUAAACCAGUAACGGAGACACUACUCCCUAGGGCAA